rnacentral:sRNA from 1 species
AAUUUAUAGUGUAAAAAGUAUAAUUUUUUCUUUUAUGCUUGCAUAAAGGGAAAAAUUUGGAUUUUUUAUACCCCUUCUCACGAGCCUAUAAGCUCUCUAAUGGAGAGCGAUAUGCCAGCGAGGGGGCGAAUCGGGGGAGCACUUAUGUGCGGAGCAAUUCGUAUAAAUG